UAACUCAUCGCCAAACACCCUGAACAGCAGGUGUUAAAAUUCGCAUCCAAUCAAAAUGCUGAUGGUAAUUGUUUUUGUCGCUCAGCAAUUGUUGAUGGACGAGUUUGAUCUGAUUUUCGAGGACUCUGAUGAUCGACCGGUUACUGCACAGAACGUGACUGAGUUCAAAUAUUUGUAGUGUUGCAUCAAGGAAACCAUGAGGUUGUAUCCGCAACUACCGCUCAUAUCCCGACGUUUAACGGAAGAUGUUCAAACAGGUUUUAGUUUAAUUAGCUAGUCGGUCCGGUUUCUCUGAAUACCCGAAUGUUAACUUUAGGAGACUUUACCAUACCAAAGGGCUUAACAGUCUUGUUCAAUAAUUUACCGCAAUCCCGAUGUUUACUCCGAGCCGGAAUCUUUCAAACCGGAACGUUUCCUUCCCGAAAACACGCUUGUUCACAUCUGUAUCGGGCACAAGUACGCCAUGUUGAAACUCAAAGUUAUUUUGGUUAAUUUGCUGCGUCGGCUCCGGUUUUGCGUCAACGAUCCAUCGGCUCCUCUAGAAAUUCCGGACAAGGAGCUCACUUCCAAAUCCAAAAGCGGCCAAUGUAACCUCAUCGCUUCAAAAUGAAUCGCUUCAUAAUUAAUAAUGCUCUUUAACAGUCUAACGCGCCAGGCCGCUACAAAAUACAUUU